ACACGAGCGGCGAACGGGUGAGUAACACGUGAGCAACCUGCCCCUGACUCUGGGAUAAGCGGUGGAAACGCCGUCUAAUACCGGAUACGACCCGCCACCUCAUGGUGGAGGGUGGAAAGUUUUUCGGUCAGGGAUGGGCUCGCGGCCUAUCAGCUUGUUGGUGGGGUAACGGCCUACCAAGGCGAUUACGGGUAGCCGGCCUGAGAGGGCGACCGGCCACACUGGGACUGAGACACGGCCCAGACUCCUGCGGGAGGCAGCAGUGGGGAAUAUUGCGCAAUGGGCGAAAGCCUGACGCAGCGACGCCGCGUGGGGGAUGACGGCCUUCGGGUUGUAAACCUCUUUUACCACCAACGCAGGCUUCCAGUUCUCUGGAGGUUGACGGUAGGUGGGGAAUAAGGACCGGCUAACUACGUGCCAGCAGCCGCGGUAAUACGUAGGGUCCGAGCGUUGUCCGGAAUUAUUGGGCGUAAAGAGCUCGUAGGCGGCGUGUCGCGUCUGCUGUGAAAGACCGGGGCUUAACUCCGGUUCUGCAGUGGAUACGGGCAUGCUAGAGGUAGGUAGGGGAGACUGGAAUUCCUGGUGUAGCGGUGAAAUGCGCAGAUAUCAGGAGGAACACCGGUGGCGAAGGCGGGUCUCUGGGCCUUACCUGACGCUGAGGAGCGAAAG
rnacentral:rRNA from 1 species